UGCAGCUGUGCCAGAUUCAUGCCUGCCCUACCCCGGUGAGCGCUGUCCCAGAGGCUCCAGUAGAAACUGUCCUUCUUGAGCCCUGUUCCCAGUGUCUGGGGUUAGGGAUGAAUCUGGUCACAGACAGCA